AAUGGUACCUGAUGCGUAGUUAAUGCUCAACAAGGAAAGUAAUUUGAAGGCUUUCCCUGACUUAAAGUGGAUGCUGCUUUGGAAAGCACCGGAAAAAUGGAUCCUGUCUUUCUCAGCCAAGGACUGGUCUCUUUUCUCCAGUAUGUUCCUAACAGAGUGGGAGUCUGGCUGUUCCACCAGUACAGACAGAAUUUUCAAUUCACAAAUCAUCUAAAAAACAGGAAAUUUUGGGGAAACAUGCUUAUGAUAACAAACAAGGGCUCUAUCAUGUGGUAUAGAAGUUUACACAAAGAGGCAUCCGAUUUUAAGUUUAUUUAUUUAUUUAUUUUUUUUACCGUUCUGGGCUUCUGGCUGCAUU
rnacentral:antisense_RNA from 1 species